AUGAACGCUGGCGGCGUGCCUAAUACAUACAAGUCGAGCGAACAGAUGAGGAGCUUGCUCCUCUGACGUUAGCGGCGGACGGGUGAGUAACACGUGGAUAACCUACCUAUAAGACUGGGAUAACUUCGGGAAACCGGAGCUAAUACCGGAUAAUAUAUUGAACCGCAUGGUUCAAUAGUGAAAGACGGUUUUGCUGUCACUUAUAGAUGGAUCCGCGCCGCAUUAGCUAGUUGGUAAGGUAACGGCUUACCAAGGCAACGAUGCGUAGCCGACCUGAGAGGGUGAUCGGCCACACUGGAACUGAGACACGGUCCAGACUCCUACGGGAGGCAGCAGUAGGGAAUCUUCCGCAAUGGGCGAAAGCCUGACGGAGCAACGCCGCGUGAGUGAUGAAGGUCUUCGGAUCGUAAAACUCUGUUAUUAGGGAAGAACAAAUGUGUAAGUAACUAUGCACGUCUUGACGGUACCUAAUCAGAAAGCCACGGCUAACUACGUG
rnacentral:rRNA from 1 species